rnacentral:tRNA from 1 species
CAGGGUAUAGUUCAACGCUAGAACUUCUCUCUUACAUCUGAGAUAGUACUCGUUAAAAUCGAGUUACUCUGA